AGUGAACGCUGGCGGUAGGCCUAACACAUGCAAGUCGAACGGCAGCACAGUAAGAGCUUGCUCUUACGGGUGGCGAGUGGCGGACGGGUGGGGAAUACAUCGGAAUCUACUUUUUCGUGGGGGAUAACGUAGGGAAACUUACGCUAAUACCGCAUACGACCUACGGGUGAAAGCAGGGGAUCUUCGGACCUUGCGCGAUUGAAUGAGCCGAUGUCGGAUUAGCUAGUUGGCGGGGUAAAGGCCCACCAAGGCGACGAUCCGUAGCUGGUCUGAGAGGAUGAUCAGCCACACUGGAACUGAGACACGGUCCAGACUCCUACGGGAGGCAGCAGUGGGGAAUAUUGGACAAUGGGCGCAAGCCUGAUCCAGCCAUACCGCGUGGGUGAAGAAGGCCUUCGGGUUGUAAAGCCCUUUUGUUGGGAAAGAAAAGCAGCAGGUUAAUACCCCGCUGUUCUGACGGUACCCAAAGAAUAAGCACCGGCUAACUUCG
rnacentral:rRNA from 1 species